rnacentral:rRNA from 1 species
UACGUAGGGUGCAAGCGUUGUCCGGAAUUAUUGGGCGUAAAGAGCUCGUAGGCGGUCUGUCGCGUCUGCUGUGAAAACUCGGGGCUUAACCCCGGGCCUGCAGUGGGUACGGGCAGACUAGAGUGCGGUAGGGGAGACUGGAAUUCCUGGUGUAGCGGUGAAAUGCGCAGAUAUCAGGAGGAACACCGGUGGCGAAGGCAGCUCGCUGGGACGUUACUGACACUGAGGCGCGAAAGCGUGGGGAGCGAACAGG